rnacentral:rRNA from 1 species
CCUACGGGAGGCAGCAGUGGGGGAUAUUGCACAAUGGGGGGAACCCUGAUGCAGCGACGCCGCGUGGGUGAAGAAGCGCCUCGGCGUGUUAAGCCUCGUUAGUAGGGAAGCAAAUGACGGUACCUGAAGAAGAAGCCGCGGCUAACUACGUGCCAGAUGCCGCGGCACUACGGAGGGGGCAAGCGUAAUCCGGAUUUACCGGGUGUAAGGCGGGUGUAGACGGUCUGUUAGGUCGGGGGUCAAAUACCGGGGUUCAACCCCGGACCGCCGCCGAUACCGGCAGGCUUGAGUUGGGGAGGGGAAGGCGGAAGGCGCGGUGUAGCGGUGGAAUGCACAGAUAUUGGGCAGAACGCCGACGGCGAAGGCAGCAUUCUGGGCCACGACUGACGCUGAGGCACGAAAGCGAGGGGAGCGAACAGGAUUAGAUACCCUGGUAGUC